ACUCAAAUGAAUAGACGGGGGCCCGCACAAGCGGUGGAGCAUGUGGUUUAAUUCGAUGCAACGCGAAGAACCUUACCAGGUCUUGACAUCCAGAGAACCUUGUGGAAACACGAGGGUGCCUUUUAGGAGCUCUGAGACAGGUGGUGCAUGGUUGUCGUCAGCUCGUGUCGUGAGAUGUUGGGUUAAGUCCCGCAACGAGCGCAACCCUUGCUAUUAGUUGCUAACAUUUUAAGAUGAGCACUCUAAUGGGACUGCCCGUGACAAGCGGGAGGAAGGUGGGGAUGACGUCAAAUCAUCAUGCCCUUUAUGAUCUGGGCUACACACGUGCUACAAUGGGUGGUACAGAGAGCAGCGAAGUCGCGAGGCGGAGCGAAUCUCAUAAAGCCACUCUCAGUUCGGAUUGCAGUCUGCAACUCGACUGCAUGAAGUCGGAAUCGCUAGUAAUCGCGAAUCAGCACGUCGCGGUGAAUGCGUUCCCGGGCCUUGUACACACCGCCCGU
rnacentral:rRNA from 1 species